GGAGAGAGUGAGUAGCUGCUUUAGAAGGAAUAGAUUCUUCUAGAAAAAGGUCUUUCUAAGGUAGAGGAAAGUCCAUACUUGCAUAGUCUGAGAUGACUAUAGUGUUUGUGUGAGUACAUAAAAAAUAAAACUCAACGGCUAGGAAACUAGUUGAUGGCAGAAAAUACUUCUAAGUAAGGACUAACCUCCUUAUAUGAUGCUAUUUUCUUUAAGGUGCCACAGAGACGAGCUCUUUAGAAAUAAAGAGAGUGAAACGCGGUAAACCCCUCAAGCAAGAAACCUAAAUAAUGGUAAGGGACUUUAAGUUUUGGAAUUCCAACAGAACUUAAAAAUCUAGGUAACUAGGUUAGAUUAAUUACUCACUUCUACUGCUAUUAGGUAGAAACAGAAUAUGGCUUACAUUC
rnacentral:RNase_P_RNA from 2 species